GCGGGAAUAGCUCAGUUGGUAGAGCACAACCUUGCCAAGGUUGGGUCGCCAGAGUGGGAGAUGCGAGUCUCGUUUCCCGCCCA
rnacentral:tRNA from 2 species